AUUGAACGCUGGCGGAAUGCUUUACACAUGCAAGUCGAACGGCAGCACGGACUUCGGUCUGGUGGCGAGUGGCGAACGGGUGAGUAAUGUAUCGGAACGUGCCCAGUCGUGGGGGAUAACGUAGUGAAAAUUACGCUAAUACCGCAUACGAUCUAUGGAUGAAAGCGGGGGAUCGCAAGACCUCGCGCGAUUGGAGCGGCCGAUAACAGAUUAGGUAGUUGGGGGGGUAAAGGACCACCAAGCCAACGAUCUGUAGCUGGUCUGAGAGGACGACCAGCCACACUGGAACUGAGACACGGUCCAGCCUCCUACGGGAGGCAGCAGUGGGGAAUUUUGGACAAUGGGCGAAAGCCUGAUCCAGCCAUUCCGCGUGCAGGAUGAAGGCCCUCGGGUUGUAAACUGCUUUUGUACAGAACGAAAAGGUUUCUACUAAUACUAGGAGCUCAUGACGGUACUGUAAGAAUAAGCACCGGUUAACUACGUGCCAGCCGCCGCGGUAA
rnacentral:rRNA from 1 species